UUGUGUUGAGUUCUGUUGUUGAGGUGGUGAGUUCUGUUGUUGAGGUGGUGAGUUCUGUUGUUAAGGUGGUGAGUUCUGUUGUUAAGGUGGUGAGUUCUGUUGUUAAGGUGGUGAGUUCUGUUGUUAAGGUGGUGAGUUCUGUUGUUAAGGUGGUGAGUUCUGUUGUUAAGGUGGUGAGUUCUGUUGUUAAGGUGGUGAGUUCUGUUGUUAAGGUGGUGAGUUCUGUUGUUAAGGUGG